GACGAACGCUGGCGGCGUGCUUAACACAUGCAAGUCGAACGCUGAAGCUCAGCUUUUGUUGGGUGGAUGAGUGGCGAACGGGUGAGUAACACGUGAGUAACCUGCCCUCUUCUUUGGGAUAACGCCCGGAAACGGGUGCUAAUACUGGAUAUUCACUGGCCUUCGCAUGGGGGUUGGUGGAAAGGUUUGUUCUGGUGGGGGAUGGGCUCGCGGCCUAUCAGCUUGUUGGUGGGGUGAUGGCCUACCAAGGCUUUGACGGGUAGCCGGCCUGAGAGGGUGACCGGUCACAUUGGGACUGAGAUACGGCCCAGACUCCUACGGGAGGCAGCAGUGGGGAAUAUUGCACAAUGGGCGAAAGCCUGAUGCAGCGACGCCGCGUGAGGGAUGGAGGCCUUCGGGUUGUAAACCUCUUUCGCUCAUGGUCAAGCCGCAACUGUGGGUUGUGGUGAGGGUAGUGGGUAAAGAAGCGCCGGCUAACUACGUGCCAGCAGCCGCGGUAAUACGUAGGGCGCGAGCGUUGUCCGGAAUUAUUGGGCGUAAAGGGCUUGUAGGCGGUUGGUCGCGUCUGCCGUGAAAUUCUCUGGCUUAACUGGGGGCGUGCGGUGGGUACGGGCUGACUUGAGUGCGGUAGGGGAGACUGGAACUCCUGGUGUAGCGGUGGAAUGCGCAGAUAUCAGGAAGAACACCGGUGGCGAAGGCGGGUCUCUGGGCCGUUACUGACGCUGAGGGAGCGAAAGCGUGGGGGAGCGAACAGG
rnacentral:rRNA from 1 species